rnacentral:rRNA from 1 species
UUCCAGACUCCUACGGGAGGCAGCAGUGGGGAAUAUUGCACAAUGGGGGAAACCCUGAUGCAGCGACGCCGCGUGAGCGAUGAAGUAUUUCGGUAUGUAAAGCUCUAUCAGCAGGGAAGAAAAUGACGGUACCUGACUAAGAAGCCCCGGCUAACUACGUGCCAGCAGCCGCGGUAAUACGUAGGGGGCAAGCGUUAUCCGGAUUUACUGGGUGUAAAGGGAGCGUAGACGGCGGUGCAAGCCAGAUGUGAAAGCCCGGGGCUCAGCCCCGGGACUGCAUUUGGAACUGUGCUGCUAGAGUGUCGGAGAGGCAGGCGGAAUUCCUAGUGUAGCGGUGAAAUGCGUAGAUAUUAGGAGGAACACCGGCGGCGAAGGCGGCCUGCUGGACCGCUACUGACGUUGAGGCUCGAAAGCGUGGGGAGCGAACAGGAUUAGAUACCCCAGUA